rnacentral:tRNA from 1 species
GGGGAUGUAGCUUAUUGGUAAAGUACUUGCCUAGCAUGCAAGGCCCUGAGUUCAACCCCCAGCAUCACACA